GACGGGACCCGCACAAGCGGUGGAUGAUGUGGAUUAAUUCGAUGCAACGCGAAAACCUUACCUACCCUUGACAUGUCCGGAAUCCCGAAGAGAUUUGGGAGUGCUCGCAAGAGAACCGGAACACAGGUGCUGCAUGGCUGUCGUCAGCUCGUGUCGUGAGAUGUUGGGUUAAGUCCCGCAACGAGCGCAACCCUUGUCAUUAGUUGCUACGAAAGGGCACUCUAAUGAGACUGCCGGUGACAAACCGGAGGAAGGUGGGGAUGACGUCAAGUCCUCAUGGCCCUUAUAGGUGGGGCUACACACGUCAUACAAUGGCUGGUACAAAGGGUUGCCAACCCGCGAGGGGGAGCCAAUCCCAUAAAGCCAGUCGUAGUCCGGAUCGCAGUCUGCAACUCGACUGCGUGAAGUCGGAAUCGCUAGUAAUCGUGGAUCAGCAUGUCACGGUGAAUACGUUCCCGGGUCUU
rnacentral:rRNA from 1 species